UACGGAGGAUCCAAGCGUUAUCCGGGAUCAUUGGGGUGAAAGGGUCCGUAGGCGGGGGUAUAAGUCAGUGGUGAAAGUCUGCAGCUCAACUGUAGAACUGCCAUUGAAACUGUUUUCCUUGAGUCAUUAUGAAGUGGUUAGAAUAUGUAGUGUAGCGGUGAAAUGCAUAGAUAUUACAUAGAAUACCGAUUGCGAAGGCAGAUCACUAAUAAUGUACUGACGCUGAGGGACGAAAGCGUAGGUAGCGAACAGG
rnacentral:misc_RNA from 1 species